GUGAAGUGUAAGAUAUAAUAAGCUCUGAAGGACUAGUGAGUUUGAGGGGAGAGGAGGACAUGGAACUGAUUCUCUGAAGAAAGACUGUACAAGUUAGUCCGAGUAGUAUUCUUACUGACAUUCUAAUAAAUGGAAACUGUUUUCAGAGUUUUCAGAUUCCGAUUCUAGUUUGAGCCUCAAUAAUGAGACUUAUCAAGGAGCGGGGCAUUUAAGAGUUGAUCAUUGUCCACCGGUGUCACAAUCAAUGAGCAAAAAUCGGUCAGCAUCCACAGAAUUUGGACAGAUGACUGCAAUAGAUAAAAGAUGACUGUUGGAGUGGUGUUUCUGGGGAAUUACACGCUCCAUGACCUGUGCCAGUUUCAGCUGCCAGGAAACAGAAACAGCAAACAAGAUUUGUCGGCAGAACUAGAUUUAGAAAUGACAUCAGAGGAAGAAGAAGAAAAACCUGUUGGAGAUGAAAAUAACCAUUCCCAGGUAUGUAAAAAUGCAAAUUUAGAUCUCGCUUAAUACAGUUUCCUGUGCUUCAACAGCAUGAUACAGUGUGUAACAAAGGUCAUGACAAAUAAAAUUA
rnacentral:lncRNA from 1 species